rnacentral:lncRNA from 1 species
AAAAUAUUACAAUUAAUCAACGAAGUGAAAUUCCUCACCCAGAAUUCAUCAUGUUGGAACCAAACAUUCAUCACUUCCAGUUAACUUCACGUGUGUAGUGUGCAUCACCAGAUUCCACCAAAAUAUUCCCUCCAGUUCAGCAUGCAGAUUCUAGAGACUUCUUCUUCCAUACGUAUUGCCUCCUUAGUUAGUUAGUUAGUUUUGCUCUAUAAAUAGAGCACUUGUAUGCAUUGUUAACUCAUUGGAGUAUAGUCUUCCAAUCCUUCCUUAUGGAGGUUUCAUUUUCUCCUAUUAUGGAGUUUCCAUUCCUCCUUUUAUGGAGAGUUUAAUGUUCUCCUUCCAUGGAGUUUUCUUCCUCCUUCAUGGAGUUGAUUGUGCCUCCUUUCAUGGAGUGUAUUUGUUCUCCAUUAAUGGAGUUUAAUCAAUUGUUUCAGAUUCAAUAAAUUGUAACAAGAAUUACCGAAGCCUCUAUUUCAGCCCAUUUCACCUUAGGAAGUCGACCGCAAGAAAGGAAUCAUUUCAUCUAAUAACUCUUGUAGGAAAAUUGAGAUCAGAUGAAUAAAUAAAACAGCAAAAGGCUUGAAAAUCGACAUUGAGAAAUUAUCUAUGAAAUGGAAAAUAAUUUGGAACUGUCCAUGCAUAUGAACUGUCCCAAUCUGUUCGUCCAUAUUGAAUCGAAAUUGCUGAUGACCCAUACAUGCAAAAGCUUCAUCGUGAUGAGGCCGCGACUAUAGUUUGCAUCCCUGGAGCCGGAAUUUGGGUUUGAACAGCCCGCUUUCGCUGUAGACGAAAUUUGCCGUGGAUUUGAAUUAAUUAAAAUAGAGAAAUCGAGAAAUGCCAACAUUAUGAACAGGGGCCGACCCAGCCGUUUUGAGUUGUGGGGUUAAAAAUUAGAGUUGUGCUACAAUGUUCACAUGAAUGAUCGCGGGAUUGAUACAAUACACACACAUGGGGUUGGGAUUAUUUUAUUUAUGGGGACCUUGCCGGGUACGUGAGGGUGCAAUCACUUGUGAGGUCAUCCUCGCGGGUUGUGCUUAGAACCAAAAAUUAAUGUGUAAUUUUUUAAAACAAUAUAAUAUUUAUAAAAAUAAGUUAAUACGCAUUUUGACA